rnacentral:ncRNA from 2 species
CUUCACGAGAUGCGCGCCAGAUAUGGGCUCCGACCCGGCGACACACCAACCCCAUGCUUCACGGGUGGUUCGGAUGACGAAGCGGUCCUUGGCGGCAACCGCCCCGGGGACAAGAGCACACG